GCGGCGUGCCUAAUACAUGCAAGUCGAGCGAAUCAAUAGGAGCUUGCUCCUGUUGGUUAGCGGCGGACGGGUGAGUAACACGUGGGCAACCUGCCUGUAAGACUGGGAUAACACCGGGAAACCGGUGCUAAUACCGGAUAAUCCUUUUCCUCUCAUGAGGAAAAGCUGAAAGUCGGUUUCGGCUGACACUUACAGAUGGGCCCGCGGCGCAUUAGCUAGUUGGUGAGGUAACGGCUCACCAAGGCGACGAUGCGUAGCCGACCUGAGAGGGUGAUCGGCCACACUGGGACUGAGACACGGCCCAGACUCCUACGGGAGGCAGCAGUAGGGAAUCUUCCACAAUGGACGAAAGUCUGAUGGAGCAACGCCGCGUGAGCGAUGAAGGCCUUCGGGUCGUAAAGCUCUGUUGUUAGGGAAGAACAAGUACCGGAGUAACUGCCGGUACCUUGACGGUACCUAACCAGAAAGCCACGGCUAACUACGUGC
rnacentral:rRNA from 2 species